rnacentral:rRNA from 1 species
UACGAAGGGGGCUAGCGUUGCUCGGAAUUACUGGGCGUAAAGGGAGCGUAGGCGGACAGUUUAGUCAGAGGUGAAAGCCCAGGGCUCAACCCUGGAAUUGCCUUUGAUACUGAUUGUCUUGAGUAUGGGAGAGGUGUGUGGAACUCCGAGUGUAGAGGUGAAAUUCGUAGAUAUUCGGAAGAACACCAGUGGCGAAGGCGACACACUGGCCCAUUACUGACGCUGAGGGUCGAAAGCGUGGGGAGCAAACAGG